rnacentral:tRNA from 1 species
GGGGACUUAGCUCAGCGGUAGAGCGUUCGGUUCACAUCCGAAAGGUCACAGGUUCAAGCCCUGUAGUCCCCACCA